rnacentral:rRNA from 1 species
AUGGACUUGAUGCAGGGAGGGUCGUCGAAGAUAAGGACGGCGGCCCGGCCUACACAUGAUGGAACACACAUUGCCGACGAUGCGGUACCAGGGCUAGAGAAGAGAUCCCAAGAAUGCCCGCCGCAGUACUGCAUUGCCACUAUCUUCAAAGACGCGUCGCUGGAUGUUGUUAGGGAUUUCUUCUGGGAUGAUGACUUCCGGGUCAAGAACACUUGGGACAAUAUCUGCAGCACGAGAUUGAACGACGGGUGCACAAAGACUGGAACAAUGGUUGUUUGCUGGGUCAGGAAGGGAGUAUGUUAUCGGUCGCAGGGUCUGGGCAUCGGGAAAGACGUACUACUGCGCUAA